CUCAGGAAACCACAGACACAACAGCAUAGCCAGAAGUUUCCGAAAAAUGAAAAGCAUCUCUCAUCCCUCAAGAGAACCUGGGUAAAUGGAAAGAACAAACAAGGAGGAGAAGCAGAGGGAAUAGCUGGGAGUCAAGGCCUGCUUCUGCUGAAAUGUCCUUUGAAUGAGGCAGUUCCAGGUGGACGAUAUAGGGAAAAACAAAUCUACUUUGCAAGAGCCUUUUCCUGACAGACAGUCUGAGAUGGCUUCAGCUGCAUAUUUUCCCUUCAGUCCUGAUCCUCUCAGAGAGUUUUAGGGUUUCUUCAUGAGAUGUUGCCACACAAUUAAGUUCCCUGAACAGCAGCAUUGUGUAAGGACAGCAGCACUCCUUGGGAUGGAUUAAUUUCACCCUCCACCAACAGCAAUUGUAAUACUCACAAUGCAAGAUGAAAGGCACCCAGGAUGAACUUCACACUCAAGGCAAGUCAGUUUUGAGACCGGCAGUGAGGUUGCUGUCACCUUGACUUCUUUCAACUUUCAUUCAAAAGUUCACUUGAAUCUUGUUUCCUAUUCUAUUCAAACACUGGAAAUCCUGAGAUCCUCCUCCCAGCCUCACCCUACCCCCUCAGACACUGCAAAGACCACAGUAACAUUCGCAUGAAUUCGAGACACUCAUGUCAUCUCUUGGCACACGUUCCCAGGUCAGCUGUGUGAUGCUGCUUCCUCUCAGAAGAAUGAGGAAACGUUGCCAAUCUCUUUUCUUCCUCUCAUUUUUAGACACUAUUUCACAACAAAGCACAACCCUCAUGACAUUUAAAAAUAAAAAUGUCCAACCAUCAAUUUUCUCUUCCUCCCAUCCAAAAUGUGUUUGAUAUGUUUACUCAAAUAUUUAAAUUAUGAUGUCUUUCCUGUGCCUGAUGUAGUCAUAUUUAAGGUAUUGCAGGUAUUUUUACAAGAUGCAGGUGUAGUCAAAGUAAUUACCAGUUACAAACAGAUUGAUCUUUUACCAAUUAAGAAACACUGAACAGCGAUAUUUUAAUACAUAACAUCCUGCUUCCAAGAAAAUAUGAUUAAAAACGUAUGCCAGUGAAAAGGACCUAGUAUGUUAUUACAAAAAAAGAAACAAUAAGCUCUGCAAAAUGCUGUAUUUUAAAUAGACACUCUACUGAAUACAAUGCAGAUUAUCUGGGAGACUAUGCAAAUAUCACAAAAGAAAGAUGAGAGGAAUUUUCACUGUGACAGAGGAUUUAUCAAGAAGUUAAAAAAUAAUUUUUUUGUCAAUUGAGAGAAUUGCUUGUACAACUCUGGCAUCUGAUACCAGUUCAAUGCUAUUUGGAUGCUCUGGAUUCUCCUUUUUGUCUUAACUUGGUCUGUUUUAGAGACCACACAAACAUUCUUCUGCUAGAAGCAUUUGUUUCUUGAAGUUAUUAUUAGCCACGAAGAUCUAAAGCAGAUCUGUUCUCAGCUACAUUCAUAGCCCAGAUGGGGAUAUUGUGAAGACUCUGCAUGAAGAAUCAAAGCCAAGAUUCCAGAGUCCUGUACAAGAGACCCACAGGAGAUGAAAAGAAGGCUGUCUUCAGCAUUUUCAUCCUACAAGCUAUUUAUGGGACUAUGACUUCAUAGUUUUUUGUUCUCAAGUAGCACAGAUGUGCUCUAUCAGUUCAUAGAUUUGGAAAAAGAAGUGUGGAAUGACUGAAAGGGGAAAAAAAAUCUCUUUUUGCACCUGAAGUUGCAGCAGUACAAACAUGGAACUGAUAGGAUAUGCUUUGUUAUUACUGGGGCAGAAUGUUUAUUCACUUAAAUACUUACAUUAUAUUUUGUCUGACCGUCAUUUGUCUGAGGAGAUUCUGAAGUUAACAACAAUAAAAACCUAUUUUUAUUAAACAAGUUAUUUUUUCCCUGUUCUCAGCUUGUUUAAUAUGCAGGAAGAAAUCCUGUCUGAAUUAGCAAAGUGCCUUGAUUUUGACUUGUAUGUUAUAUGUUAUCUGCAUGUUAUUUUGUUGAAGGUUUGUUUUAUUUUUAAACCAAGCAACGUCACUUUUAAACAACACAUCCUAUCUUCAGAACUCAAGAGAGAUAAAAAUUUAAACAAAACUUGAACAUUAUGGUUAAACUAGAUUAUCCUAGGUCAUUUCCUGCUUAAAUGAUUGUAUGAUUCUGUCCUCUGUAAGAGUGAAGAUAUUAGUAGGUCCAGGAAAUUGACUUGCUGUGCCAUAAAACAACUUGCACGUAUGCCAAAGAGGGUGUAGUAAAAUUCCUUAUUGUAGCUAUAAGUUUGAAAUACCUUCUGCCAAUAAUGUUUAUGGGGAAAAUACAUUAUAAAGCAACCAAAAGUUUCCCUUCCUAUAAUUUUUCAUUUACAUACCACAUUACUAUCUCCUUUGCAUACAUGAAAAUUCUAUUUGCCACCAACUGAAAAACAUACAACAUCCAAGGACAAAGAUCAAAAUGUAUAAUGAAUUCAAGAAUUUGCACUGGGAUGUCCCUGAACACCAGGAUGCUGCCCCAGAAUCUCUCCUGAUUCACUUGAGUCUUCUACAGAAUAUCACAUAGCAUCAUAGAGUCACAAACAGAUCUGAAAAAUUUUAAGGAAUACAUUUUCAAUGCACAGCCCUUAUUCCACUCAGUGGUAAAAAAUUAGCAAGGGAGGUUCCUUAAUUAGGAAGUGCUAAAUUUAGGAUAGCAAUAUUCAUCUCAAAGGGUCCCAGCCAUCCAUGUUUAUUCCAGCAACUACAAAAAUGCACCUUAUAUAUGUGCAUUCUAGUGUAUAAUUUACAGCACAUAACUUUAAGGGUUUUGAAAAAUAUUUGUCCAAUAAAUGUGAACACUCUCCCAUUCCUUUUUCCUCCCCCAAUCUCCCGCUUCCACUCAAAUGAGGUUAGCUAAGAAAAACCCUAUUCAUAGAAAUUAAGAACUAAAUAUCCAGUCCACUCUCACAAUUAACAAGUAGCCUCAGUCAAUGUCUAUGGCAUAAACCUGGCUCUGAGGGUUUAUAAACAGGCCCCUGUAUAUUUUGAUUUGAAUGAAGUAUGUCUGAGCUAUUAGAGAUGCUCGUACCAGUAAGAACUACUCCAAAACUGCAAGACAUGUGUUCUGCAUUGCAUUAACAGAAACAAAACUGUGAUGCUUUAAAAGUCAUGGAUUAAAGGAAAUAAUGU